GCUCAUGGCUCUAUCAGCCUCAUCUGUUCAGGAAAGCUAAGCAGACCCAGGCCUGGGAUAUAUUUUGAUGAGAGACCACCUGGGAAUCACAGAAGCCAUCUACA
rnacentral:rRNA from 1 species